rnacentral:rRNA from 1 species
UACAGGGGGUGCAAACGUUGCUCGGAAUCAUUGGGCGUAAAGCGCACGUAGGCGGUUUGUUAUGUCGGAUGUGAAAGCCCUUGGCUCAACUGAGGAAGUGCAUCCGAAACUGGCAAGCUAGAGUACUAAAGAGGGUCGCGGAAUUCCCGGUGUAGAGGUGAAAUUCGUAGAUAUUCGGAAGAACACCAGUGGCGAAGGCGGCUCACUGGCCCGGUACUGACGCUGAGGUGCGAAAGCGUGGGGAGCAAACAGG